AUUGAACGCUGGCGGCAGGCCUAACACAUGCAAGUCGAGCGGAUGAAGGGAGCUUGCUCCUGGAUUCAGCGGCGGACGGGUGAGUAAUGCCUAGGAAUCUGCCUGGUAGUGGGGGAUAACGUCCGGAAACGGGCGCUAAUACCGCAUACGUCCUGAGGGAGAAAGUGGGGGAUCUUCGGACCUCACGCUAUCAGAUGAGCCUAGGUCGGAUUAGCUAGUUGGUGGGGUAAAGGCCUACCAAGGCGACGAUCCGUAACUGGUCUGAGAGGAUGACCAGUCACACUGGAACUGAGACACGGUCCAGACUCCUACGGGAGGCAGCAGUGGGGAAUAUUGGACAAUGGGCGAAAGCCUGAUCCAGCCAUGCCGCGUGUGUGAAGAAGGUCUUCGGAUUGUAAAGCACUUUAAGUUGGGAGGAAGGGUAGUAAGUUAAUACCUUGCUGUUUUGACGUUACCAACAGAAUAAGCACCGGCUAACUUCGUG
rnacentral:rRNA from 1 species